AAAUGAGAAUGAUUUCAAUACCUUUCUGUAAUUAAAGUAAAUAGCGUAAUUUUUUUUCUCUCCAAGAGAAUUGCUCUCUGGACUCCCUAAAAAUGGGUGGCAUGCUUCUUUUCGCUCAGGUGCUGUCAGUUCAAUCGAAGAUGGCGUCGAAACAUCAAGCACUCCGCGAGCGUGUUGUACGGUUUUACGAAACGCAUGGUCAUCGUGGAAAAAAAUUUACGGUAGACCACUUUCGAGACGAAAACGUACCCGUGAGUAUAGUUUACCGGAUCCUGGCAUCCCUGAGCACGGAGCGGAAGGCCGAGGAAGAAGAAGGAAGCGUUGAAAAAGCUGUUCGACAACAAGGACGGAACGAGUUUGCGUGAUGC